rnacentral:ncRNA from 1 species
ACAAAUAUCCACAUUUGCCUUUCUUCUUUUUCUUUCUACUCUUUCAUUAAGAGGCUUUGUCAUUUCAGAAAGAAAAGUAAGAACGACAAUAGCCUCCAAGUUGGAGGCUUUUUUAUU